AGGCGCAAAUACGCUAGGUGAGAAAGGGCCAAAAGGAAGCAAAAGGGAGGAGGGUAUUUUACUAUUGCCACCUCCACCUCUUUCUCGUCCUCCUGCGCCUCCUCCUUCUGCUGGAAACUCCAUGGAUUCUCGAUUCCCGUGCACGCUGGCUGGUCCUCGAUCGGGCGGCCAUCUUGCGUCCUCCGAUCCCCUGCCCCAAGUACUAAAGAAGACCAGCCGUGCCUUGGCCGUCAUCGGCACCCGUUGCGAUGGGACGGCUUGUGGUAGGUAGCUUAGUGCUCACCGCAGGGCUAUGGCUCUCGGCGAGAGUGCCGAACGCGCUGGCUAACGCCGACGCCAAGCGGCUUUAUCACGACCUUGUUAACGGCUACUCAUCGCUCAUUCGGCCUGUAGGAAACAACUCUGACCGCCUCACCGUCAAGAUGGGCCUUAAGUUAUCACAGCUCAUUGACGUUAAUCUUAAGUCACAAAUUAUGACCACUAACAUGUGGGUAGAGCAGGAAUGGAAUGACUACAAACUGCGUUGGGACCCUGAAGAGUACGGGGGCGUCAGCAAACUCCAUGUACCCGCCGAACAGAUCUGGCUACCCGACAUAGUGCUGUACAAUAACGCCGAUGGUAACUACGAGGUCACGAUAAUGACCAAAGCGAUUCUUCAUCACGACGGCCUCGUUGUCUGGAAACCGCCAGCCAUCUACAAGAGCUCGUGUGAGAUCGAUGUCAAGUACUUCCCGUUUGAUCAACAGACCUGCUGGAUGAAGUUCGGCUCGUGGACGUAUGACGGAUACACCGUCGACCUGAAGCAUAAGAACCAGCAGGACGGCGAUUUAAUUGAGGUCGGCAUCGACCUUUCGGAGUUCUACCUCUCAGUGGAAUGGGACAUCAUGGCGGUCCCAGCGCGAAGAAAAGAGAAGUUCUAUUCGUGCUGCGAAGAGCCGUACCCUGACAUUACAUUUAACAUCACAAUCCGACGAAAGACCCUAUUCUACACUGUCAACUUGAUUAUACCCUGCGUUGCCAUCUCAUUCCUCUCCAUUCUCGUGUUCUAUCUUCCAUCCGAUUCUGGAGAAAAGGUAUCGCUCUCAAUUAGCAUUAUGCUCUCUUUGGGGGUCUUCUUCCUUCUGCUGUCGGAGAUAAUUCCGCCCACGUCGUUAGCAGUGCCACUCCUGGGCAAGUACCUCCUCUUCACAAUGGUGCUCGUCUCAUUUUCAGUCUUCGUCACCAUCGCUGUGCUCAACGUUAAUUUUCGUUCACCAGCCACACACAAGAUGCCCCUGUGGGUGAAGGAAAUAUUCUGUGAGUGGUUGCCGGGUAUUCUUAUGAUGAAACGGCCAGAAGACGACGACGAGGAAAAAGAUGAGGAUGACGAGGAGGUACAAGAGGCUGGAGGCUUAGAGGGAGUGGAAAGCGGUCAGGGAGGGGCCCUACACAACUGUCACGAUAUGCACGACGAUGUAGCAGGCCCAGAUUCAGCAGCAUCUGCGGCUGCGGCGGCGGCGGCGGCAGCGGCAGCACAAAAUCAAGGCAACCUGCUUGACCUGGCGGCUGUCGGGUUCGAUAGCGUCGAAGUGCGCAGCCCGACGGUACCGUCACUACGGUUGCCUCCAGGUCUGCCCGAAGCAAAAUGUGGGUCCGUAGAGCAGCUGCAGUGUUCAUUCCUUGCCGUACAAGGGGGAGCCACGUAUCCUCUAGAGAACAAUGACGACGGAUAUGGAAAUGAUUCGCCUGCCGAGGGCGAAGCUGACACUAAUUCCGAGGAAAGCCGUUGUUCGGUGCAGAAACUUUCGCCAGAAGUCGAGCGACCAGUCAUGAAUGUCCGAUUUGUGGAGCAGCAUAUGAAGAAUGUGGAUAAAUUCGAAAAGAUAAGUGAGGACUGGCAGUACGUCGCCAUGGUACUGGAUCGGGUGUUCCUUUUCUGCUUCACCAUCGCCUGCGUGGUCGGCUCUGCAUGUAUCAUAUUCGAGGCGCCAUCAUUGUUCGAUGACAAGGUGCCAAUCGAUGUGCUACUCUCCAAAGUAGCCCCGCGGGCCGUGGCGUACAGACACGAAAUGAUAUCGAAGGGUGUCCAGCUUAAUAUACCCGGCUAACUCCAGCAGCGAUAGCAGGAUGGUGUGGUUAUGUGUCCGUGUAAAAUUUUACAGUAAAAUCGAUUCUGAUACGCAUACACACGUAUAUACUGUGGUCACCUUACUUACUUACUUACUUCUACGCAAGUUUAGAAACUAAAAUCUGGGAUAACUGGCCCCAUUCGGUUAUACUGUCGAAUGAACUGAUGCUCAAUGCAAGAUAUGUUCGCGACCCGUCCUUGACUAUUGUUGUUGUCGUCAGGCACGUUGGCCUACGCUUAGCGUACACUGAAAUGCGGAUUGACACGAUAGCCUAAGCAAUCAUCGAACGUUUACUUGUUAUGACCACAUAAUGGACGAACGCGCUCGGCUUCACAAAUGAAUUGCCUUUUCAGUACGUAGAUAACGAUUAAGCAACAAACAACAAGACGGUGACGUUCAGAUGAGAAGGUAUGGCCAAUAUAGUAUAUAUAUACUACUUAGUUGACACUGUUGGAAAAGAUGUGAUCAAAAUGAGUAGUUAAAUAUGUCCACCCAGACUUUCUCAGUAGAGUGGUGAAUCAAUGCAAAUGCUGUUUUCACAACACGAAAGAUCCGUGGACCGGCUACUAAGAAAAAGAACAAUUUAACACUUUCGAGUCAGGAACAAACUAUCUCUUCGUAAUCUUGCAGUAUGGAAGUCUUGGAAAUAAUUAAUCUCUGAUAGGAUCUAUGUUUUAUUCUGGAAACUGUUCAAAGUGAUCCACUGUGGAUCGAGAGAUGAAUCACGAAUUGGAUAAGUGGUGAUAACAUGCUUCUGGCAUUCUCAGCCUAUCUUACCCAGUUACUAAGAGAUAGUCUGUCUAAUGCCGCCUGCCACAGCAUACGGAUUUAACGUGCGCGGUGUUGACGUCGAUCAUCUGGUAUUAUUCUAAUUACAAUGAUUUGCUAGAAAGAAAGAGCGCCUACCGCGUGAUAGUACUGUGUCCGGUGUCCGGUACAGUGUCUUGCAACCAAACUAGCAUAGAAGAUGUAAAGUCAGCCAAGCUAUUUGAAAGAACUGGGUUCAAGGAUGUAAGACUCAUCUUUCCCAAUAACGCAUGGGUUUAGCGCAUAGCGUAUCGAUCGAUGCGAAACUGUGCAUCCAGACAUUCGAUGACACGUGUAAUUACUCAGAACGGGCAGUCACUUGCACCUUGAGUACAUUGGGACUCAGAAGCUAUCCAGCUGUCAAGGGUUAUAGGUAUAGUAGAUACCACAAUAAAGAUAAAGCCUGAAAAUAUGCUUCACAAAUAAGUAAUAACUGCUAAUAGUAGUGAUAGUAAAAAAUAGAUUACGGGCGAUGGGUGCUGACACCAAUGCGUCAGCUCUGAAGGUUGAGUACGAACCUCUGCAUGGUGCACGGAACGCGUGGGGCAGUGAAUUAGAACGUUACGUUGUCAUCACUACCAUUCCCACUAGUAAUCUGUUUUCGAAAGGUCCCUCAGUAGAUAUUUGCGAGACGGGGUGUGUGUAUAGUAUGUACGCGAGCAAGUUAGAAGUUAAGUACUGUUCGAAAUAGCCGAAUCGAUCUUUUGUUCCGAGAGCUAAUUAGACACGUACCUCUUUUGGAGAAGGCGCAAGAUUCGUGCUCAGUAUCAAACGGUGGAACUUGAUUGGGGAUUUUCUGAUGGAAACAUUAUUGUUAUAACGCACCAAAUGUUAUGGUAUACUUGUUAUAGCUAUUUAUUUUGGGGAUGAUCAAGGUGUGUCAUGAUAGAAUGCAGAAUGAUGAUUGUUUGCCUUUACCUUAAUAAUAGCAAGGCUUGCGCAAGAAAAGUAUGGAGAGUUUGCAAAGGAACAAACGACGUUAAAGACGGGCGCAUACCAGGAAUAGCCCCAGCUAUUCCUGGUACAUGCCCGAGCUUGAUUUAAUUUUAGCACCGGUUUGUAGGGACACAGGAAAUGUUCCUGUGUUCCACAAACGAAAAAGGUUUGGCCAACGCUUUUUUUAGGAGAAAGCGGGCUCACCGAGAAAACUCUUCUGAGCAGAGGUGCACUUCGGAUAUAAAACGGCUUGAUCACUUUGAACGUCUAGCACAGUGCCGACUUCGCGGUGGCAUUAACUAGUGAGCCAUCGAUAAACAGCUGUGAUCGGUGUACUGCAGGAAGGUUGGAGGGUAGAUGUAUUCUUCAGACAAGGCAUCCUCUAUCGCUCUGGCCCAGAGAAACCGCGACCACUUUCGCGGGCAGUCAAAAUUACUAGUUGUCAGGUUUAUCAGGGGAACGAGUGGCUGUGAAUGCCGUCUUCCGCCGACCGAUCACAAAGCUAAAAAGUCUGUCUUAAAAUGUAGACCACGUUGCUGCAGGAUUUUCAUGCACUUCUGCUUCAUGCCCUCCCAUUGUUGAUGCAGUGUCAGCUAAUGUGGUCAUCCAUCUUUACAUUGACAUUUGCUGUUUGCCUCGUGUUAAGCUCUAUAACAAGAAAUAACAACAACAACUACUACUAAAGCCUCUCAGCUGUUUCUACCAUCAACGUCAGUCGGUUGGCCGGUGUUGUGCCAUCACAAUCGGACCAGUACGACGGUUACGUCGUUGUCCUAUGGAACGGCGGCAGCAGAACAUCUCUCGAUUCGUGACGAUUACGGUGAUAAUAAUAAUUAUGGGAUUGUCUAGAGGGAGCGACGAGUCUGCGAUCAACUCUGAGCAGCGAAUACUGCGAGUAGUAAUUGCCGAUGCGAGCGGCCGCGGGAUUCACAUAAAGCUCGACCACCAUCACCACUACGAUUUCGUCAGCAGAUGUCGAUAUAUAGGCGCGGUCGGGUCAUUCUCAGAGAAACCAGAAGUGACUACGCCGAGAGAGACCAAACACGAGAUGAAGAUGAAGUCGAAAAAUCGGCUAAAAUGGCCGCUCUGGACAACAACGACA